rnacentral:rRNA from 1 species
CCUGCGGAAGGACAUUACUGAGUGAGGGCCCUCUGGGUCCAACCUCCCACCCGUGUUUAUUUACCUUGUUGCUUCGGCGGGCCCGCCUUAACUGGCCGCCGGGGGGCUUACGCCCCCGGGCCCGCGCCCGCCGAAGACACCCUCGAACUCUGUCUGAAGAUUGAAGUCUGAGUGAAAAUAUAAAUUAUUUAAAACUUUCAACAACGGAUCUCUUGGUUCCGGCAUCGAUGAAGAACGCAGCGAAAUGCGAUACGUAAUGUGAAUUGCAAAUUCAGUGAAUCAUCGAGUCUUUGAACGCACAUUGCGCCCCCUGGUAUUCCGGGGGGCAUGCCUGUCCGAGCGUCAUUGCUGCCCUCAAGCCCGGCUUGUGUGUUGGGCCCCGUCCUCCGAUUCCGGGGGACGGGCCCGAAAGGCAGCGGCGGCACCGCGUCCGGUCCUCGAGCGUAUGGGGCUUUGUCACCCGCUCUGUAGGCCCGGCCGGCGCUUGCCGAUCAACCCAAAUUUUUAUCCAGGUUGACCUCGGAUCAGGUAGGGAUACCCGCUGAACUUAAGCAUAUC